rnacentral:sRNA from 1 species
AGCGGCUCCGGGCGGCAGCUAUGAGGCGGGACGUGCGCAUCCUGUUACUGGGCGAGGCCCAGGUGGGGAAGACGUCGCUGAUCCUGUCCCUGGUGGGCGAGGAGUUCCCCGAGGAGGUAAGGGGCACGCCCGCCGCGGGGGUGGGAGCGGGCCCAGCCGGGGGUCCCUGGUGAGCGCGCGGGUCCCUUGCAGGUCCCUCCCCGCGCGGAGGAGAUCACGAUCCCCGCGGACGUCACCCCGGAGAAGGUGCCCACCCACAUCGUGGACUACUCAGAAGCCGAGCAGACGGACGAGGAGCUGCGGGAGGAGAUCCACAAGGUACCCGUGGUGCGCGGGACGAGGGAGGGGCUGGGCGCGGGCUCGGCCUAAUCCGCUUCGCAGGCUGGGGGAUUGGACCGAGGUGCUCAGGGUGUCCUUGGCCCUGAUAAUUCUGUGACCUCCGCACUGAGGGUUGUUGGGGCCCCUACAGCGCACGCACCCCGCUGGGAGCCGGCACCGCUCAGUCCAUUAGUGCUCCAGGGAUAACAGGACCCUUCCCCGCAGGCUCUCCCUCCCUCCUGCCGGGGUGGCAGCAGCGUUUACUCUUCCUGUGGGCUCUGUGUGCGCCACGUCCCCGUGCUGUGUGCUCCAGCCCACCGUCCCGGCCUCCGGGCACCCGGAGCUCCCAGUACCAGAGCACGUGUGCCGGGGACAUCUCCAGGCAAGGGCACAGGCCACAGCCACCCAGGGCAGCCCCUGCUGUUGGCACCCCUUACUUCGGUCCUGUCACUCUGUCUGUAGCCAGGGGGGAGGCAGGGGCCAAGGCGGCGGCAGUCUUACAGGGUGUUGGGUUGCAGGUGUGGCUGUGUCUGUCCCGAGCUCUCUGCUCUAAGGGUUUUGCCGACCACAGUUAUGCUUCUGGGGCCUGGUGUCCCUGCACUGGCAGUGGGCGGGGAAGAGGCUUCUCUGAGGGUUCAGCAGCAGCUCCCAGUGUGACACUGGGGAGUGCCUGCUCUGCCAACACCAGGCUGGAGGCAGGUUUUAGGGAAGGCUGGGCUUUCCCGGCCUCAGAGCUGCACCCAUGCUACCUGUGAGCUUCUGGGGCCUCCUGGAGCCUCGAGAUGGCGUGGAACGGCCAGGGUCGUCGGUGGUGAGCCAGCAGCCCUGUCACCCACACCUCAUCACUGUUCCCUUAGGCAAACGUGGUGUGUGUGGUGUAUGACGUCUCUGAGGAGGCCACCAUUGAGAAGGUGAGCCCUCAGUGCAGACCCCAACAGCAGAGACACAGUGGCCGGUGGUGGCCCAGGUGGACCCUCACCCAACCCGUGGCCAGUGCCAUCGCUCACAGCAUUUUGGGGAGCCUGACGUGGAGUCGCCUGACGUGGAGUCACCCAGCCCUCUCCUGUGAUCCCACUUCCCCUGAGAGGGUCUGGGACGUCCCGCAGUCUGAGCCAUUUAGGCCGGCAGCCCUCUUUCUUCCCCAGUUUCCAAACCCCCGGGGGGGACCCGCAGAGGGCCUGCGUUGGGGGCGGCCCUAGGCUUGGGCCCCAGUGACUUGGGGGUGUUUGGGAGCCAUUGGGGUCAGACCGAUGAGGCUGCACCUGCUGCCUGCCUUCUCCCACCAGCUUUGUUCCUGUGGCCGGGACUUGGGCCCUCAGUGGGCCUUGACCUCCCCCUUCUGCUCUCCCCCAGCCAGGCUCGUGCUCCAGCUGGGAGCCAUGUGCCCGCGGGCAGCCUCACUUCACAGCCAGGCUUUGCUUUUCAGAUUCGAACUAAGUGGAUCCCACUGGUGAAUGGGGGGACCACGCGGGGGCCCAGGUAAUGAGGGGGAUGUGGAAGGGGCUGGGACUCCUGGCUCCCCUGCCCCUGGUGACCAUGGGCCUUCAACCCAGGGUGCCCAUCAUCCUAGUGGGCAACAAGUCAGACCUGCGGUCGGGGAGCUCCAUGGAGGCCGUGCUCCCCAUCAUGAGCCAGUUUCCCGAGAUUGAGACCUGCGUGGAGUGUUCGGCCAAGAACCUGAGGAACAUCUCAGAGCUGUUCUACUACGCCCAGAAGGCCGUCCUGCAUCCCACAGCCCCCCUCUAUGACCCUGAGGCCAAGCAGUUGAGGCCUGCGUGCGCCCAGGCGCUGACGCGCAUCUUCAGGCUCUCAGAUCAGGACCUGGACCAGGCGCUCAGUGACGAAGAGCUCAACGCUUUCCAGAAAUCCUGCUUUGGGCACCCCCUGGCCCCGCAGGCCCUGGAGGACGUGAAGACGGUGGUGUGCAGGAACGUGGCGGGCGGCGUGCGGGAGGACCGGCUGACCCUGGAUGGUGAGGCCGGGUGCCCGCCUGUGCCUGGGGAGUGUGGGGAGGGGGCUGUGCCUGGUGCUCCCCCUGCUCUGUCUCGGUGCAGGUUUCCUCUUCCUGAACACGCUCUUCAUCCAGCGCGGCCGGCACGAGACCACCUGGACCAUCCUGCGGCGCUUCGGCUACAGCGACGCCCUGGAGCUGACUGCGGACUAUCUCUCCCCUCCGCUCCGCGUGCCCCCCGGCUGCAGCACGGAGCUCAACCACCUUGGCUACCAGUUUGUGCAGAGAGUGUUUGAGAAGCACGACCAGGUGAGAGCAUGGCGAGUCCCCUGCCCCUGCCCCCGCCCCCUCCCCGGCACACACAUCACCACAUCCCUCCUUCUGCAGGACCGCGAUGGCGCCCUCUCGCCCGUGGAGCUGCAAAGCCUUUUCAGUGUGUUCCCAGCAGCCCCCUGGGGCCCCGAGCUCCCACGCACAGUCCGCACAGAGGCCGGCCGGUUGCCCCUGCACGGAUACCUCUGCCAGUGGACCCUGGUGACCUACCUGGACGUCCGGAGCUGCCUUGGACACCUAGGCUACCUGGGCUACCCCACCCUCUGUGAGCAGGACUCCCAGGCCCAUGCCAUCACAGGUAGGCACCCACCCUCCCUGGGCCUGGGCCCAGCAUCCUGGCAGCUGCCCUAACCCGUGUCUAUCCUCACAGUCACCCGUGAGAAGAGGCUGGACCAGGAGAAGGGACAGACGCAGCGGAGCGUCCUCCUGUGCAAGGUGGUGGGGGCCCGUGGAGUGGGCAAGUCUGCCUUCCUGCAGGCCUUCCUCGGCCGCGGCCUGGGGGUAAGCACCCUAGACUCCCCCACCACCCCAGGGGCUCCAGGGGCAGGGCAGGGCAAUCUGGGGGGGCACUGCAGCCAGCGAGUGUCAGGACUUCACCUCCCUCAGCACCAGGACACGAGGGAGCAGCCUCCCGGCUACGCCAUCGACACGGUGCAGGUCAACGGGCAGGAGAAGUACUUGAUCGUGAGUGCUGGGGCGGCACGGCCUGUGCCCGAGGGUGGACCCGGGGACACCCAGGCCUGCCUGGCAGAUCUGGCCCAGCAUGGCCCUAGGGGGACCGAGCCCCAGGGACCCUUCCUAAGGCCACUGUCUGUCCCAGCUCUGUGAGGUGGGCACAGAUGGUCUGCUGGCCACAUCGCUGGACGCCACCUGUGACGUUGCCUGCUUGAUGUUUGAUGGCAGUGACCCAAAGUCCUUUGCACAUUGUGCCAGCGUCUACAAGCACCAUUACAUGGACGGGCAGACCCCCUGCCUCUUUGUCUCCUCCAAGGCCGACCUGCCCGAAGGUGUUGUGGUGUCUGGCCCAUCACCAGCCGAGUUUUGCCGCAAGCACCGGCUACCCGCUCCCGUGCCGUUCUCCUGUGCUGGCCCAGCCAAGCCCAGCACCACCAUCUUCACCCAGCUCGCCACCAUGGCCGCCUUCCCGUGGGUACCCAGUAGCGCAGCCCUGGGGACUAGCAGUGUCUGUCAUCCGAGCAGUGGGCAGCGGUGGCGUCAGGCCUGGAACUGGGGCCAGAGUGGCGGGGUGGAGCUUUGUGUGGCAG